AACGCGAAGAACCUUACCCAGGCUUGACAUGCAGAGGACAGUCCCAGAAACGGGAUCUCCCGAAAGGGUCUCUGCACAGGUGCUGCAUGGCUGUCGUCAGCUCGUGCCGUGAGGUGUUUGGUUAAGUCCCGCAACGAGCGCAACCCUUACUCGUAGUUGCCACCCGCAAGGGGGAACUCUACGAGGACUGCUCCGGAUAACGGAGAGGAAGGUGGGGAUGAGGUCAAGUCAGCAUGGCCUUUAUGUCCAGGGCUACACACGUGUUACAAUGCGCGCUACAAAGCGUUGCAAACCCGCGAGGGGGAGCUAAUCGCAAAAAAGCGCGCUCAGUUCGGAUUGCAGUCUGCAACUCGACUGCAUGAAGCUGGAAUCGCUAGUAAUGGCGCAUCAGAACGGCGCCGUGAAUACGUUCCCGGGCCUUGUACACACCGCGCAUA
rnacentral:rRNA from 1 species